UUCUAUUUUCCUUACCAAUUGUCCAAUUCCCAAAUCACAUUCCAGCGGCAGCAACUCAAUUACUCAAAAUGUGUUCUUCAAAUUCAAUGCCUUUAUUUUAAGCAACCACUCAAAAUUAAAAGCUAGUUUUAACUUCUUCACCUAUUUUCACUCCAUUGCAACAGGUAUUUUGAUUUCCUUCCUCUUCUUUUUUUUUUAUUGUUUUCCUCUCAUGAAUAGAGAGGGUUUUGAGAAAAUAAAUAGCUAAAGCAAUGAAUGGUGAAACUGUAUAGAUUGUGAUUGGAUAGUUCUUACUUCUUAAUUAGUUAGUUAUCUUGAUAUCUAAGAGAAAAAAUAAAAAAAAUACUGUGGAAUAAUUUAUUUAAUUUGUUUCUUAUGAUUUAUAGAAUAUUUUAGUAAGAGCCAAGAUGAUCAAGAGAUUUUUCAAGCUGCAAACCUCUUCAGGUUCUAUUUCUAGUUCUCCUUUAUGUCCAGUGGUCAAUAAUAAUGUCAAUUCUUCUCAAUCAUCACACCUACAUGGGCGGAUCUAACAGUUA
rnacentral:lncRNA from 1 species